rnacentral:rRNA from 1 species
AGGGUUCGAUUCUGGCUCAGGAUGAACGCUAGCUACAGGCUUAACACAUGCAAGUCGAGGGGCAUCAUGGAGUUUGCUUGCAAACUCUGAUGGCGACCGGCGCACGGGUGAGUAACGCGUAUCCAACCUUCCCUAUAGUAGAGGAUAGCCCGGCGAAAGUCGGAUUAAUACUCUAUGUUUUCCGUUGCAGACAUCUAAGAUGGAACAAAGGCUUGCCGCUAUAGGAUGGGGGAUGCGUCUGAUUAGGUAGUCGGCGGGGUAACGGCCCACCGAGCCUUCGAUCAGUAGGGGUUCUGAGAGGAAGGUCCCCCACAUUGGAACUGAGACACGGUCCAAACUCCUACGGGAGGCAGCAGUGAGGAAUAUUGGUCAAUGGGCGCGAGCCUGAACCAGCCAAGUAGCCGUGCAGGAUGACGGCCCUAUGGGUUGUAAACUGCUUUUAUGCGGGGAUAAAGUUCACUACGUGUAGUGUUUUGUAGGUACCGCAUGAAUAAGGACCGGCUAAUUCCGUGCCAGCCGCGGC